AUUGAACGCUGGCGGCAUGCCUUACACAUGCAAGUCGAACGGCAGCACGGGUGCUUGCCCCUGGUGGCGAGUGGCGAACGGGUGAGUAAUACAUCGGAACAUGUCCUGUUGUGGGGGAUAGCCCGGCGAAAGCCGGAUUAAUACCCCAUACGAUCCACGGAAGAAAGCGGGGGACCUUCGGGCCUCGCGCUUUCUGGUUGGCCGAUGGCGGAUUAGCUAGUUGGUGGGGUAAAGGCCUACCAAGGCGACGAUCAGUAGCUGGUCUGAGAGGACGACCGGCCACACUGGGACUGAGACACGGCCCAGACUCCUACGGGAGGCAGCAGUGGGGAAUUUUGGACAAUGGGCGAAAGCCUGAUCCAGCAAUGCCGCGUGUGUGAAGAAGGCCUUCGGGUUGUAAAGCACUUUUGUCCGGAAAGAAAAACUUUACUCUAAUACAGUCGGGGGAUGACGGUACCGGAAGAAUAAGCACCGGCUAACUACGUG
rnacentral:rRNA from 1 species